rnacentral:snoRNA from 1 species
UGGAUCAAUGGUGACUCCCUGAGGUGUACGAGUUGUGUGUGAUGAAUGUGAGUCUGGAACUCUGAGGUUUGA